UUCUUCCACUUUCGAUGAGGGAAGAGAAAAAAAAGUUUCUCGUCCCAAACUUUAUUACUUUUGAAAAGUGCGCACGGAAAAUCUUCCAGUCGAAAUCGAUCGGUCCCCCAAGGAUAGUAAGGAUCUCCUCGUUCUCCGAGGAAAGCGGCGGUGGCGGUGUUUGAACGGCAAAAAGAGGGAACGCGAAGCAAGGGAAAUCCGCGCGUGUAACGGUGACAGGCUUCGUACACGACUGGCCAGGUUUUUUCGGCGUUACGCAGGUAUAUAUACGAAGCAGGCUUGUGCAUAGACGCGCGAUCGCUCGUGUCCCGCUAGAAUCGACGUCGCGAGUUGUGGGAGGGGAGAUAGAGGCCGUCCUCCUAAUAAGCUCUAUGGGACGAAUUGCUCGCGAAAACGCGUCGCCGUCUUCGUCGUCGUCGUCGCGCUACCACCGAGUCGCUACGAUCCUUAAAGCAUCGCGACGAUCGACACAGGACUACUGUGAAAUUCAUUCCGAGAGGAUUUUAGGGAGGAGGAGCGAUUUUGGAUUCGUGUUGGGGGAGGGGAUGGUGGAAGAAGUUGCAAGGGAGGCAAGAAUAAGAGGGUUUAACGUAAAACGUAUGUGGUUUUGAUGCGGAGCGAAAUGAGAAAAUUUGAAAGGAUCAGUUUUGGAAUUGAGGAGAAAGGUUUUGUGAAGGGAGGGGAGAUUUAAAAAAAGUAAUUUUGAAGGAAAUUUAAGAAUUGUAAUGGAUUGUAAUUUUUUAAUGGAUCGCAAUUUGAAAUUUGAUAAUUUUACUUGAAUAGUUAUUUAUAAAAAUAUUCACAGCAUAUAAUUUCAAUGUGUACUACGUAACAGAUAUUCAUUCUUUCUGGAUGAGUAAGUGUAUGUCGCUUAAUGUUUAAAUUCUAAACAAGUGAAUACAGUGAAAUAGGUGGACGAUUGUGUCACGAUUAAUAAUGAUUCCAUGUAAAAGAUAUAAUUUAUCAUACAUUUUUUUUUUUUUAUAUUAAACUAAACGUGCGUUAUCGUAAAUUGUAUCGUAUAAACAAAGAAGAGGACAAUGGAAUUAUAUAAGAAUUUAAGUUAA